AUUUGACCUGACUUCGCCGAUUUAUUACUAGAACUCUCUCCUCUGCCAUCGAGUUUCAACUUGUUCUCCACGAGGUGAGUUUCUGAAUAAGAGGGCACUGCUACAUCCCAGAAAGAUUUAGAUUUGAAAGAUACAACUUUUUCUGGUUCCAAAAUUGUAGAGACCUCAGUUGGAGCUUUCAUGGAUAACAAACUCCAUACAGUGAUCUUUUAAAACCUCAACCGUCUCAGAAGGCUGCAAGUAAUCACACACAUAUGUUCCUGCUAACCAUGGUGCGAAAACUCUUCUAGGAAAUGGAAGACUGCAUUCUUUUCUCAAUAAAUGCAGCACAAGUUGGGAAACGGGCUUUUCAACUGAUACAUCAUCGUCACUUACUUGCCUUCCAACAUCAUGAUGGUUAUCUGAAUCAACAUC
rnacentral:lncRNA from 1 species